AGAGUUUGAUCAUGGCUCAGAAUCAACGCUGGCGGCGCGCUCAACACAUGCAAGUCGCACGAGAAAGGGGAGCAAUCCCUGAGUAAAGUGGCGUACGGGUGAGUAACACGUGGAUCAUCUACCUUUUAGUGGGGAAUACCCCCGGGAAACUGGGGACAAUACCGCAUAAGCUCGUGAGAGGAAAGCAGCAAUGCGCUGAAAGAGGAGUCCGCGGCUGAUUAGCUAGUUGGUGAGGUAACGGCCCACCAAGGCGAAGAUCGGUAGCCGGCCUGAGAGGGCACACGGCCACACUGGCACUGAAAUACGGGCCAGACUCCUACGGGAGGCAGCAGUGGGGAAUCUUGCACAAUGGAGGAAACUCUGAUGCAGCGACGCCGCGUGAACGAUGAAGCCCUUCGGGGUGUAAAGUUCUUUCGACGGGAACGAUAAUGACGGUACCCGAAGAAGAAGCUGCGGCUAACUACGUGCCAGCAGCCGCGGUAAUACGUAGGCAGCAAGCGUUGUUCGGAAUUACUGGGCGUAAAGAGUGCGUAGGCGGUGCUCUAAGUCUGUUGUGAAAUCUCCCGGCUUAACUGGGAGGGUGCAGCGGAAACUGGAGUGCUUGAGGGUGGGAGAGGUAAGCGGAAUUCCUGGUGUAGCGGUGAAAUGCGUAGAUAUCAGGAGGAACACCUGUGGUGUAGACAGCUUACUGGACCACUUCUGACGCUGAGGCACGAAAGCGUGGGUAGCAAACAGGAUUAGAUACCCCCGUAGUCC
rnacentral:rRNA from 1 species